rnacentral:rRNA from 1 species
AACGUAGGAGGCGAGCGUUAUCCGGAUUUACUGGGUGUAAAGCGCGUGCAGGCGGUUGGUUAAGUUGGGGGUGAAAGCUCCUGGCUCAACUGGGAGAGGUCGCUCAAGACUGGCCAACUGGAGAGCAGUAGGGGAAGGUGGAAUUCCGGGUGUAGUGGUGAAAUGCGUAGAUAUCCGGAGGAACACCAGUGGCGAAAGCGGCCUUCUGGACUGCAUCUGACGCUCAGACGCGAAAGCUAGGGGAGCAAACGGG